CGGGACGGGUGAGUAAUGUCUGGGAAACUGCCUGAUGGAGGGGGAUAACUACUGGAAACGGUAGCUAAUACCGCAUAACGUUGCAAGACCAAAGAGGGGACCUUAGGGCCUCUUGCCAUCGGAUGUGCCCAGAUGGGAUUAGCUAGUAGGUGGGGUAAAGGCUCACCUAGGCGACGAUCCCUAGCUGGUCUGAGAGGAUGACCAGCCACACUGGAACUGAGACACGGUCCAG
rnacentral:rRNA from 1 species